rnacentral:rRNA from 1 species
AUUGAACGCUGGCGGCAGGCCUAACACAUGCAAGUCGAGCGGAUGAAGGGAGCUUGCUCCUGGAUUCAGCGGCGGACGGGUGAGUAAUGCCUAGGAAUCUGCCUGGUAGUGGGGGAUAACGUCCGGAAACGGGCGCUAAUACCGCAUACGUCCUGAGGGAGAAAGUGGGGGAUCUUCGGACCUCACGCUAUCAGAUGAGCCUAGGUCGGAUUAGCUAGUUGGUGGGGUAAAGGCCUACCAAGGCGACGAUCCGUAACUGGUCUGUGAGGAUGAUCAGUCACACUGGAACUGUGACACGGUCCGGACUCCUACGGGAGGCAGCAGUGGGGAAUAUUGGACAAUGGGCGAAAGCCUGAUCCAGCCAUACCGCGGGUGUGAAGAAGGUCUUCGGAUUGUAAAGCACUUUAAGUUGGGAGGAAGGGCAGUAAGUUAAUACCUUGCUGUUUUGACGUUACCAACAGAAUAAGCACCGGCUAACUUCGUG